AGCAGCCGCGGUAAUUCCAGCUCCAAUAGCGUAUAUUAAAGUUGUUGCAGUUAAAAAGCUCGUAGUUGAAUUUCGGGGUUCUACCGUUGGUCGGGCUUUGUCUGUACUGAUGUGUAGAAUUUCUACCUUCUGGGGAACCAUCAUGUUAUUAAUUUAGCGUGGUGGGAAACCAGGACCUUUACCUUGAAAAAUUAGAGUGUUCAAAGCAGGCUUAUGUCUGAAUACAUUAGCAUGGAAUAAUAGAAUAGGACGGUGGUCCUGUUUUGUUGGUUUCUGAAUCACCGUAAUGAUUAAUAGGGAUAGUUGGGGGCAUUAGUAUUCAAUUGUCAGAGGUGAAAUUCUUGGAUUUAUUGAAGACUAACUUCUGCGAAAGCAUUUGCCAAGGAUGUUUUCAUUAAUCAAGAACGAAAGUUAGGGGAUCGAAGACGAUCAGAUACCGUCGUAGUCUUA
rnacentral:rRNA from 1 species